UCCUUCCGUUUAUUUUAUUUUUUAUUUUUAUUCAUGUUCACUUUCUAUUUGCUUUUGUAGAACAAAUAACGACAUGCAUCUUUCAAGAGGAAAUAGACCUAGUCGGAGGGAAGCUUGCCAUGACGACGCAAAAGACUAGGAGGCCGAAUUCCACAAAGGAUGUCAUGGAGUAAGAAGAUAAUGCAAGAGAGGCGGUGGUAUACUGCCGGGGGUAAGUUGCCAUGCUUUUCAUUUGCAGCUUUGAUGUUGCGCUAUUGAACAUCCCUGCAGGCAAAAAAGAAAAGUUUUUGGCCUUUGAAGCUGAACACAGUUGUGCUUUCGUAUCUAUUUGAAGAACACGGACAGAGUUCAAUAUCCCAAGAUCUUGGGCUUUUAGGAUUCCGCCAAUGGUCGAUUGUGACCAUUACAUGGAUUCGUUUAUUUUUUUUUCUUGCCUUUUACACCUAGAAUUAUUCACGUUCUUUAAUGAAGGCAGCCAACUUCAAUUUUGUUUGUUACGAGAAAAGAUAAUCAUUCAUAAAGGCAAGCUUUAUGGAUGGCUGCGUCUUAUUUUUCAUUACCGUUUGCAUUUCUUUAAAAGAAAAAAAAAGUUUGGCAUCCAACCGCAAGGCGAUUUGAUGAACAAUGUCCUGUGUGGCCAGAUCAAUAACGUGCCGUUCUAUAUAAAGCGAGAACCUGAAAUCAGAUUGAUUAUAUAGGCGUCGUUAGAUAUGAACACACAAAUACACACAUUCCUCUUUUAUGUCCAUCGGCUGCAAAAUUGGAAUCCUGCCCGUUUACGUUAUCGUCUGUAGAUAAAUUUUUCUGAAGAAUGAUCCAUUGCGAAAAAUGCAAUGAAUCGAAAGAAAAAAAAAGGAGAUUAAACGAUCGAUUCCGUGUUCGCUUGAAAAAAGACGAUUGCUUUGUCGAUUGAAGGAGGACAUUCUGCGAAAAUACAAGACGGUGAAUAUGCUCAAUCACAGUCGACAUGUACGGACUUCGUCAACCUCAUACAAACUAUUACUAGUACAAGUUUGCGGAGAUAUCGCUGGACAAUCUACGCAUCCUAUUCACCACACGUGAGAAUUUCAGAGUUGCGUACGUCUGGAACGAUAACAAAGGAGGAAAGAUAAAUCUUGCAUUGCGUAUCGGAUAUACUCAAAGAAAGUGCACCGAUUCUUCAGAAAUCGACACCUUUUUAAGAGAUGAAAGAACCAUGUCUUUGGCUAAAUAAAAGUUGGAUUCGUCUUAAAACGAAAACGCAGUUUAUUAUGGAAAAUGCGACACACACAAGCGCCGACUAGUGAUGGAUCUGUUCCAUUUGCACAAGAGCGAAAUCUUUAGGAGUUUCACGCCCAGCGGAUCGAUGACGACGUCACGAGUUGGCUGGAAAUGACAUCCGCGCAAAACUUUUUUGCUUUCGUUGAUCUCAAACAAUCGAUGCUUCAGUUAACUCACUCACGUCCUGUUUGGCAUCCAGCCUUAGGCUAGAUAGCUGAUUAAGGACCUCACUUCGGGUUCACGUUUCUUUGUCGUAUAUUUUAGCCAACUAUAGAUGCACUACGUGGUCGCAUUGCCAAUGACCGGAAUCGAUCCGAAAAAAAAACGCAUUCUGAUUCGUCGUGGAUGAGACAUUCGUUUUUUUUUUUUGCACGACGUUGGGAGAGUCACGUAAAGAAAUUUCUCUUCACGGUUUGCAUCCAAACCCAAUCUACGAGUGCAUGAUGAUGGUCUGACAGGAGUAAAUCAAUUUCACUUCCGCUUGAGAUCGUUCAACAGCCUCUCUCGACGAACAAGAAAAAGGAUAGAAGCUAAAAAGAAAAUUAAAAGGAGGCCCUGCGGCACGAAAACUUUGAACGUAAACCACUUGGUUACAUAAAUGUCAUUUUCGAUUUUUUUUUUUUUGACGACAGACGGGAGGAUAGGUAAGGAAAUGACAAACAAAAUGGGGCGUUUUCUCAUCAUUCCUGCGUUAGGGGGGGGGAGGAAAAAAAUCGAUAAAUGUAAUUAUGUUUUUUUGUUUUGCCAGUUUUUAUCUCGACACAAAGUAGAAUGGACCUUGUUUUUUUUUCCUUUGUCCUCUUUGUUAUUGCAAGUUAAUGGCUGCCAGUGCUAGUAAUUAGAUUAAGUUCCAUUUGAAAAGAACGUGGCAAGCUUUGACAUGUUUCUCGUGUAACAGGUUUUUGAUUCUUUGCGUUGUACACACUCCAAUAAAGAAAUACGUGGAAAUAAGAAAACAAUCCAAAUCACAGUGAACAAUCUUUUCAAGGAAUAUAUAUGUGUGUGUGUGUGUGUGUGCAUCUACUUUGUUUUCCUGGAGCUUCGUCUCAUCCAUUAAAGUAGUAAGUUUCUUAUUUUUGUUUGUUUCCUAUGAAUUUGUUCACACGGUGUUCGCUUUUUCUAUGCAAAACACUUUCCAAGUAGUUUAUUUUUUGUGUGUGUAAAAAGUGUUAGAUCAUUGUAUGAAUUUUGAAACGUGAUUAUCCUGGCGGGGAUGAAGAUUGGUCGUGAAAAAAAUCGUGUUCUCCACCAUCCAAGUUUUG